AUUAAAGUUGCUGCAGUUAAAAAGCUCGUAGUUGGAUUUUGAAUUAUAAAAAUUUAACAUUCAUCUUUUAGAUGUGAUUUAAUUUUUAUAUUCUUCCUUUUGAUACGCUCCAUCAAAUUAUAUUUUUUGGAUUUAAGUGUUUCAAAUUGUUUACUGUGAAAAAAUUAGAGUGUUCAAAGCAGGCGUAACCUAGCCUUUGAAUAUAUUAGCAUGGGAUAAUGAAAUAGGACUUUAAUCCUACUUUCGUUGGUUUCUAGGGCUAAAGUAAUGAUUAAUAGGGAUAGUUGGGGUCACUAGUAUUUAAUUGUCAGAGGUGAAAUUCUAAGAUUUAUUAAAGACUAACUACUGCGAAAGCAUUUGACAAGGAUGUUUUCAUUAAUCAAGAACGAAAGUUGGGGGAUCGAAGAUGAUCAGAUACCGUCGUAGUCUCAACCAUAAACUAUGCCGACCAAGGAUCCGAGGUUGUUAAUAUGGAUGACUCUUCGGGCACUUAUAGAGAAAUCAUAAGUAUUUGGGCUCCGGGGGGAGUAUGGUCGCAAGGCUGAAACUUAAAGGAAUUGACGGAAGGGCACCACAAGGAGUGGAACCUGCGGUUUAAUUUGACCCAACACGGGAAAACUUACCAGGUCCAGACACAGUGAGGAUUGACAGAUUGAGAGUUCUUUCUUGAUUCUGUGAGUGGUGGUGCAUGGCCGUUUCUAGUUGGUGGAGUGAUUUGUCUGGUUAAUUCCGUUAACGAACGAGACCUUAACCUAUUAAAUAGUUAUUUAAACUUGAUUUUUAAAAUCAAAUGUUUAAAAAACUUCUUAGAGGGACUCUUCACUGAGAGAGUGAAUGGAAGUUUGAGGCAAAAACAGGUCUGUGAUGCCCUUAGAUGUUCUGGGCCACACGCGCGUUACACUGACAUAUUCAACGAGCAUUAUCCUUACCCGUCGGGGUUGGGUAAUCUUUUAAAUGUAUGUCGUGCUGGGGAUAGAUCAUUGUAAUUAUUGGUCUUGAACGAGGAAUUCCUAGUAAGUGCGAGUCAUCAACUCGCGCUGAUUACGUCCCUGCCCUUUGUACACACCGCCCGUCGCUCCUACCGAUUGAAUGGUCCGGCGAGAACUCAGGAUGGAUAUGGAUUUUGGACACCGUUAGGUGCUCCAACCAUAUCCAGAAUUUGUUCAA
rnacentral:rRNA from 1 species